rnacentral:rRNA from 1 species
AGAGUUUGAUCCUGGCUCAGAUUGAACGCUGGCGGCAGGCCUAACACAUGCAAGUCGAACGGUAACAGGAAGCAGCUUGCUGCUUCGCUGACGAGUGGCGGACGGGUGAGUAAUGUCUGGGAAACUGCCUGAUGGAGGGGGAUAACUACUGGAAACGGUAGCUAAUACCGCAUAACGUCGCAAGACCAAAGAGGGGGACCUUCGGGCCUCUUGCCAUCGGAUGUGCCCAGAUGGGAUUAGCUUGUUGGUGGGGUAACGGCUCACCAAGGCGACGAUCCCUAGCUGGUCUGAGAGGAUGACCAGCCACACUGGAACUGAGACACGGUCCAGACUCCUACGGGAGGCAGCAGUGGGGAAUAUUGCACAAUGGGCGCAAGCCUGAUGCAGCCAUGCCGCGUGUAUGAAGAAGGCCUUCGGGUUGUAAAGUACUUUCAGCGGGGAGGAAGGGAGUAAAGUUAAUACCUUUGCUCAUUGACGUUACCCGCAGAAGAAGCACCGGCUAACUCCGUGCCAGCAGCCGCGGUAAUACGGAGGGUGCAAGCGUUAAUCGGAAUUACUGGGCGUAAAGCGCACGCAGGCGGUUUGUUAAGUCAGAUGUGAAAUCCCCGGGCUCAACCUGGGAACUGCAUCUGAUACUGGCAAGCUUGAGUCUCGUAGAGGGGGGUAGAAUUCCGAGGUGUAGCGGUGAAAUGCGUAGAGAUCUGGAGGAAUACCGGUGGGCGAAGGCGGCCCCCUGGACGAAGACUGACGCUCAGGUGCGAAAGCGUGGGGAGCAAACAGGAUUAGAUACCCUGGUAGUCCACGCCGUAAACGAUGUCGACUUGGAGGUUGUGCCCUUGAGGCGUGGCUUCCGGAGCUAACGCGUUAAGUCGACCGCCUGGGGAGUACGGCCGCAAGGUUAAAACUCAAAUGAAUUGACGGGGGCCCGCACAAGCGGUGGAGCAUGUGGUUUAAUUCGAUGCAACGCGAAGAACCUUACCUGGUCUUGACAUCCACGGAAGUUUUCAGAGAUGAGAAUGUGCCUUCGGGAACCGUGAGACAGGUGCUGCAUGGCUGUCGUCAGCUCGUGUUGUGAAAUGUUGGGUUAAGUCCCGCAACGAGCGCAACCCUUAUCCUUUGUUGCCAGCGGUCCGGCCGGGAACUCAAAGGAGACUGCCAGUGAUAAACUGGAGGAAGGUGGGGAUGACGUCAAGUCAUCAUGGCCCUUACGACCAGGGCUACACACGUGCUACAAUGGCGCAUACAAAGAGAAGCGACCUCGCGAGAGCAAGCGGACCUCAUAAAGUGCGUCGUAGUCCGGAUUGGAGUCUGCAACUCGACUCCAUGAAGUCGGAAUCGCUAGUAAUCGUGGAUCAGAAUGCCACGGUGAAUACGUUCCCGGGCCUUGCACUCACCGCCCGUCA